rnacentral:lncRNA from 1 species
GUAAACCAGAUUGCUCAUUGUAGCUUAAUUUAUUUGUGCUGCAACUAAAUAGGUUCCAAAUUAUGAUGCUUAACUGAUCUGAUCAUGCCUGUUUCAGACUUUUGAGUAAAAGUUGUAGUGAUUGCUGAUUGAACCUUCUUAGACUUGGAUUCCAUGAUAUUGAAUCUGCUUCAUGUUUUCAGAGAAGAAGAGAGAGGGAAGAGCAAAGGUAGACCGUGAAGCUGAUGAUCAGCAAGUUCUGCAGCUGGAAGAAAAAGAUGUCGUAUCAUCUGUUGCCACUGUGCUUUCUGAUUUGUGUGGUCCGGGAGAGUGGAUGCCUAUGGAAAAACUUCAUUCUAUGGUUAGUUCUUCCUUGAUCCUUUAGCUGCCUUCUUUUGUUACAGCACGUAGCACGAUCAAAAAGACCAUCUCUUUGUUUACAAGAUUGCAUGUUAAUAGGUCUAUAAACAAUCAAUAGAAGUCCCUGAGAUAUUAUGCGCAUAUCAGUCUUAAAAAGUGAUAUCACUGGAAGGAUUAUCCCACUGAAACCAGGCUUGUAUGGUGUCCAGUUAGUUUUUUGAGAAUUAUAGUGUGAAGUUAGGUCCUUUAACAAUGGGGUUGUGCUACUCGUGUAUAAGUCUAGAAAGUAUGAUAAUUACUGCACAGGUUUUGGAUAAGUAGUUUGUUCUUACAUUGAAUUAAGCUCUUUGUUAAUCAAAAUAUGGCUAAUGCAUGGUAGUGUUUGGUUGGUCUGUGACAGAUAUUAAAGGAGUAUGGAAACGUAUGGCAUCACAGUCGAGUAAGAAGAUACCUGACACAAGAAGACUGGGCAAUCCCUGAAGCAAAGGGUAAACCAUGGUACGGUUUGUUGAUGCUGCUAAGAAAAUACCCAGAGCAUUUCGUCAUCAACACUAGAUCGAAGGGAAGAGUAACGCUUGAAUUUGUAUCUCUCGUUUCCCUACUCUCAUAAUCACCAAGAUGAUUAUGCUGCUUUUGUAAGUGCAAGAUCAUUGUUACUUGUUAGUAAUAUCUUAUAUGUGUCCACGAAAUGAGUCAUGAGUGUAUAAGUAAGGUUAGUGUUUAGUAUUUGGUGACUCGGAUUAAGCUUGUUGUUUACAGCCAUACUAUAUGGCUUUUCAAUACCUUUUGAGCCAUGCUAUAUGGCUUUUCAAUACCUUUUGAUUGUUUUCUUUUGGAGGAAAACAAACAGAUUUUUUAACUUGCAGAUAUUUCUGUUUUGUUUUUUUUUUCUUUGGACGUAGUGAAUGAUAUUUUCUCGGAAACUGAUUUAAUAUAUUUGGACUAUUUCUCAAUUUGUGUGUUAGCAUUCUGCAAUGUGCAGUGCAGGGGCCAUGCUAUCACGUUAGUGAUAUUUGGUAGAAGAGUAAUAAUAAGUGGAAAACAUAUCACACAACUGGGAAACACUGUGCAUACCAAAUUCAACUUUAUGCAUACCAAUUACCAAAUACAGAAAAAGUUGUCGGUAGGAAAAAUGAUGGGAUUGUCUGAUACAUCAAUCAACACAUUCACAAUUAUUGAGUAUCGUUUGGACUUAAACACAACACAUCAAAGGAUAUCAUUUUUUCUUUUUUUGUUGUCGACAAAACGCCAUCCACUGCUCUAUCAGAAUAUAUAACAUGCCUUAAAGAAAUUGAGAUUUGAAUAAAUGAUUCACCGAUGUCACUAGCCCAAACACUCACUGGUAUACAUGUUUUGUUUGGCUGGUCGCACUAUAUAAGUUUAUAACCACUUAUAUAGUUAUAUAUUCACCUAUAUAAAUUGGUUUUUGUUUUGUAAUUUUCUUGGUUUUUCUCUAAAACUGUUGUUUCUAGAGAUCUGCAAUAUUUUCCGCCAUCUUAGUUUUCAAAAUCUAUAUAUUUUCCGUUGACGCACAUAAACCAAUUUUUUUAAAUAUAACUUUCAUAUGAAACGAAGAAGGAAACAAACCAAAUAAUUCAUCGUAAAAAUUGGUUAUAUCCAAGUCUGAUACAGUACUUAACACUCCCUCCUGAUUGAGAGAUUUUUUGGUAAAGUGUUGAGAUUACGUUUAAUUUUUAGAUAUUACCGAACACUCCCAAAUUUACGUUUAAUAUUUAUAUAAGUAGCAACCUGCGUUUUUUAUUUAUCUACAGCUUGGUGUGUUGGUAUACCAACUAGCUAACAUGUUUAUAAUCAACUUGAAUAGUUUACUUUAUACUCCAUUUCUAUUUCUAAAAUGCCCCUCCUUGGGAAGAUGGUUUCAAUGAUUUCGUUGCCAUCGCUAGUUGCUACAAAAGAAAUCUUAGCACAGAAAAUGUAAUCUCUAGAUUUUGGCAAGAUUCCUUUUUUCUUUUCUUUUUCUAAUCAAAAACUUUAUAGUAAAAGACGAAUGCAUGUGAUACACGUGAAUUGGGGUUGGUGUUUUGCUUAGACUUAGAGAGAGAAACAAACCAUUAGGGCUUUACAAUCAUUUGUGAAGUUUUUUUUUACAGACUCAACUUAAUAGAGAAAGACCAAUGAAAUAUCCUGCAUGUAACGUCAUAUUCUUUAAAUACUAUGAGAUCCAUCUAGUCUUUUCAAAUUUUUUUUUAAUAAUAAUUAUUAUUAUGAAUGAUUUAAAAUACUCCACUAGAUGAAUUGUGUAAGAUACUCCACUAGAUGACUAAAGUAUUGAUUCAAAUUGGC